AUUGAACGCUGGCGGCAUGCUUUACACAUGCAAGUCGAACGGCAGCGCGGGCUUCGGCCUGGCGGCGAGUGGCGAACGGGUGAGUAAUGCAUCGGAACGUGCCCAGUAGUGGGGGAUAGCCCGGCGAAAGCCGGAUUAAUACCGCAUACGACCUGAGGGUGAAAGCGGGGGACCGAAAGGCCUCGCGCUAUUGGAGCGGCCGAUGUCGGAUUAGCUAGUUGGUGGGGUAAAGGCUUACCAAGGCGACGAUCCGUAGCUGGUCAGAGAGGACGACCAGCCACACUGGGACUGAGACACGGCCCAGACUCCUACGGGAGGCAGCAGUGGGGAAUUUUGGACAAAGGGGGCAACCCUGAUCCAGCCAUGCCGCGUGCGGGAAGAAGGCCUUCGGGUUGUAAACCGCUUUUGUUCGGGAAGAAAUCCUCUGGGCUAAUACCCCGGGGGGAUGACGGUACCGGAAGAAUAAGCACCGGCUAACUACGUG
rnacentral:rRNA from 1 species